UACGGAGGGGGUUAGCGUUGUUCGGAAUUACUGGGCGUAAAGCGCGCGUAGGCGGACUAUUAAGUCGAGGUGAAAUCCCGGGGCUCAACCCCGGAACUGCCUUUGAUACUGGUAGUCUUGAGUUCGAGAGAGGUAGUGGUGAAUUCCGAGUGUAGAGGUGAAAUUCGUAGAUAUUCGGAGGAACACCAGUGGCGAAGGCGGCUACUGGCUCGAUACUGACGCUGAGGUGCGAAAGUGUGGGAGGCAAACAGGAUUAGAUACCCCGUAGUC
rnacentral:rRNA from 1 species